GCGGGCGGCGCUGGGCAGCUCCGCCGCGCGGCACCUGGCUAGCCCGCUCGCCGCUCGCCUCUCCUCUGCGCGCGCCCGCCCCUCCCCCGCGCCUGGACGCGCGCGCUCCUCCUGCACCCCCCUCCUCGAGAAGGGACCCUGCUGAAUAAUGGAACGGGAUUGAGGCUAGCAAGAGAGGCCACUUUCUUCCUCCCCGCCCACCCCACCUGGAUGAACCCCAAUAAUGCUCUCUGGCACAGCCUGCUGAGAUGCCGCGGCGGCCACCUCUGCACACACCCCUCAGAACGCACACGCACACUGAGAUGUGUACCGGCUUGGGUAUGGAAACAUCCACGUGCCCAUAUGGGCACAGUGUGCGGGCAGGCACACAGGCUCAGACACAUACAUGCAUGCAUGUGCUCACAAACAUGGGCACACCAACUCACUCUCAGGGGAGCAUGUACACAUGCUCACCGGGCAUACAUGCGUGCGCACACACGUUUGAUCACAGGCCAUGAAUGGCCAACAUACACACAGACACCCCUGCCCUCCAAGCUCACCCUCCAAAAUAGGGUCCACAGCAUACAGCGCACCCAGAGCCUUCGAGGUACUCAGGAGUAAGACAUGCCACACACAUACAGCUCCCCACCACCUCCCCAAAAGGCUGCUCCCCUAGCCCCUUGCACAAGCCUCUCCUGGACUCCUCCAAUCUUUCCUCUCCAUUCCCACUGCCCCUCCCCUGGCUCCAACCUCUCUCUCCAUGGUGGGGUCUAGAGGACACCUGCCCACGGAGUGUCCCACUUAGGACAAAACCCUUCCUGGGCCACAAAUGUCAAGCUGAGGAAACCACUUAUCCUUCAGGAUGCCCUCCAAUUGGGAUCUGUCCCCCAAACUUUUGGACGCCUCUGGAAAGCACCUGUGGCCCCAGAGGAGAUACUCAUAAGCCUUAAAGGAACACAAAGUUCACUGCACCCCCAGGAGUAGCCCCCAUGUCACAAAUGGAGAAAUUGAGGUGAAGGCUCCACUGUGUGGGAGUGAAGCAGUGACGACGGGCAGCAGCGCUUCGUGAUCCUGAUUUCUUCCACCCCAGGCAAGAAGUGCCCACCAUGGGUACCACCACCACUCCCCUGGGGACUAAAUGAGCAGCAGGAAGUGACAAACAGGCGCACCUAAGUUCCAGCCGAGCUCUACCAUCAACCCUCUAUGACUUGGGGGAAGGACCCCAGGGAAGAUGAUUCAAGCGAUGCUGAGGAGGCUGCACUCUGCCCACCCACUCCAGCCCAAUCAUCCAAGGGAAACGCCAAAGCUACCCCACAGAGUAGAAGGUUGCCUCUCCACCAUUCCUGCCUCAGCUGCCCUCCCUCUGCAGGGCUCUAACCAGCUGCUGGCCACCAACCGCUAGGGACUGGGAGCUGCUGCUGAACCUGCCCUCUCUGGGGAGGGGCCUCAAACAGAAUGCAAGUUGGCAAGCAAAUGUCCAGCCUGGGAGGAAAAGAACUAAGCGAAGACAGUAGGGAGUGACAUUGUAGCUCAAGGGGACAAACUGCUGCUGGGAUGCUUGGGGAAGAAAGAGGAGCCCAUUCCAGGCAAACCAGCUGUCCAGCAGCCUAGCCUCCUGGGAGCCUCCAAAGCCUCUCCUCUGGGGUGUGGUCCUGCUCUCAGCAGGAAAUAACAGAUUCCCACUUCAUGCCCUGAGGGCAUCAAAGGGGGUGCAGGUUGUUAACAGCCCCCCUCCCUGUGCAACAGUGUGUCUGCGUGAGAUACAAAUACAUGUAAGGCCAUCACCAAAACC